rnacentral:rRNA from 1 species
UACGGAGGGGGCGAGCGUUAUCCGGAUUUACUGGGUGUAAAGGGAGCGUAGACGGCGUCGCAAGUCUGAAGUGAAAGCCCGUGGCUCAACCGCGGAACCGCUUUGGAAACUGCGUGGCUGGAGUGCAGGAGAGGUAAGCGGAAUUCCUGGUGUAGCGGUGAAAUGCGUAGAUAUUAGGAGGAACACCAGUGGCGAAGGCGGCUUACUGGACGGUAACUGACGCUGAGGCACGAAAGCGUGGGUAUCGAACAGG